AGAGUUUGAUCCUGGCUCAGAUUGAACGCUGGCGGCAUGCCUUACACAUGCAAGUCGAACGGUAACAGGUCUUCGGAUGCUGACGAGUGGCGAACGGGUGAGUAAUACAUCGGAACGUGCCCGAUCGUGGGGGAUAACGGAGCGAAAGCUUUGCUAAUACCGCAUACGAUCUACGGAUGAAAGCAGGGGACCGCAAGGCCUUGCGCGGACGGAGCGGCCGAUGGCAGAUUAGGUAGUUGGUGGGGUAAAAGCUUACCAAGCCGACGAUCUGUAGCUGGUCUGAGAGGACGACCAGCCACACUGGGACUGAGACACGGCCCAGACUCCUACGGGAGGCAGCAGUGGGGAAUUUUGGACAAUGGGCGAAAGCCUGAUCCAGCCAUGCCGCGUGCAGGAUGAAGGCCUUCGGGUUGUAAACUGCUUUUGUACGGAACGAAAAGACUCCUUCUAAUAAAGGGGGUCCAUGACGGUACCGUAAGAAUAAGCACCGGCUAACUACGUGCCAGCAGCCGCGGUAAUACGUAGGGUGCAAGCGUUAAUCGGAAUUACUGGGCGUAAAGCGUGCGCAGGCGGUUAUAUAAGACAGAUGUGAAAUCCCCGGGCUCAACCUGGGAACUGCAUUUGUGACUGUAUAGCUAGAGUACGGUAGAGGGGGAUGGAAUUCCGCGUGUAGCAGUGAAAUGCGUAGAUAUGCGGAGGAACACCGAUGGCGAAGGCAAUCCCCUGGACCUGUACUGACGCUCAUGCACGAAAGCGUGGGGAGCAAACAGGAUUAGAUACCCCGGUAGUCCAA
rnacentral:rRNA from 1 species